rnacentral:rRNA from 1 species
AAAUUGAAGAGUUUGAUCAUGGCUCAGAUUGAACGCUGGCGGCAGGCCUAACACAUGCAAGUCGAACGGUAACAGGAAGCAGCUUGCUGCUUUGCUGACGAGUGGCGGACGGGUGAGUAAUGUCUGGGAAACUGCCUGAUGGAGGGGGAUAACUACUGGAAACGGUGGCUAAUACCGCAUAACGUCGCAAGACCAAAGAGGGGGACCUUCGGGCCUCUUGCCAUCAGAUGUGCCCAGAUGGGAUUAGCUUGUUGGUGAGGUAACGGCUCACCAAGGCGACGAUCCCUAGCUGGUCUGAGAGGAUGACCAGCCACACUGGAACUGAGACACGGUCCAGACUCCUACGGGAGGCAGCAGUGGGGAAUAUUGCACAAUGGGCGCAAGCCUGAUGCAGCCAUGCCGCGUGUAUGAAGAAGGCCUUCGGGUUGUAAAGUACUUUCAGCGGGGAGGAAGGUGUUGUGGUUAAUAACCACAGCAAUUGACGUUACCCGCAGAAGAAGCACCGGCUAACUCCGUGCCAGCAGCCGCGGUAAUACGGAGGGUGCAAGCGUUAAUCGGAAUUACUGGGCGUAAAGCGCACGCAGGCGGUCUGUCAAGUCGGAUGUGAAAUCCCCGGGCUCAACCUGGGAACUGCAUUCGAAACUGGCAGGCUUGAGUCUUGUAGAGGGGGGUAGAAUUCCAGGUGUAGCGGUGAAAUGCGUAGAGAUCUGGAGGAAUACCGGUGGCGAAGGCGGCCCCCUGGACAAAGACUGACGCUCAGGUGCGAAAGCGUGGGGAGCAAACAGGAUUAGAUACCCUGGUAGUCCACGCCGUAAACGAUGUCUACUUGGAGGUUGUGCCCUUGAGGCGUGGCUUCCGGAGCUAACGCGUUAAGUAGACCGCCUGGGGAGUACGGCCGCAAGGUUAAAACUCAAAUGAAUUGACGGGGGCCCGCACAAGCGGUGGAGCAUGUGGUUUAAUUCGAUGCAACGCGAAGAACCUUACCUGGUCUUGACAUCCACAGAACUUUCCAGAGAUGGACUGGUGCCUUCGGGAACUGUGAGACAGGUGCUGCAUGGCUGUCGUCAGCUCGUGUUGUGAAAUGUUGGGUUAAGUCCCGCAACGAGCGCAACCCUUAUCCUUUGUUGCCAGCGGUCCGGCCGGGAACUCAAAGGAGACUGCCAGUGAUAAACUGGAGGAAGGUGGGGAUGACGUCAAGUCAUCAUGGCCCUUACGACCAGGGCUACACACGUGCUACAAUGGCGCAUACAAGGAGAAGCGACCUCGCGAGAGCAAGCGGACCUCAUAAAGUGCGUCGUAGUCCGGAUUGGAGUCUGCAACUCGACUCCAUGAAGUCGGAAUCGCUAGUAAUCGUGGAUCAGAAUGCCACGGUGAAUACGUUCCCGGGCCUUGUACACACCGCCCGUCACACCAUGGGAGUGGGUUGCAAAAGAAGUAGGUAGCUUAACCUUCGGGAGGGCGCUUACCACUUUGUGAUUCAUGACUGGGGUGAAGUCGUAACAAGGUAACCGUAGGGGAACCUGCGGUUGGAUCACCUCCUUACCUUAAAGAA